UACGGAGGGAGCUAGCGUUAUUCGGAAUUACUGGGCGUAAAGCGCACGUAGGCGGCUUUGUAAGUUAGAGGUGAAAGCCCGGAGCUCAACUCCGGAACUGCCUUUAAGACUGCAUCGCUUGAAUCCAGGAGAGGUGAGUGGAAUUCCGAGUGUAGAGGUGAAAAUUCGUAGAUAUUCGGAAGAACACCAGUGGCGAAGGCGGCUCACUGGACUGGGUAUUGACGCUGAGGGUGCGAAAAGCGUGGGGGAGCAAA
rnacentral:rRNA from 1 species